rnacentral:rRNA from 1 species
UACGAAGGGGGCUAGCGUUGUUCGGAAUUACUGGGCGUAAAGGGCGCGUAGGCGGUUCGUUUAGUUAGGCGUGAAAGGCCUGGGCUCAACCCGGGAACUGCGCUUGAUACUGGCGAGCUUGAGUUCGGAAGAGGGUAGUGGAAUUCCCAGUGUAGAGGUGAAAUUCGUAGAUAUUGGGAAGAACACCGGUGGCGAAGGCGGCUACCUGGUCCGAUACUGACGCUGAGGCGCGAAAGCGUGGGGAGCAAACAGG